AGUGAACGCUGGCGGUAGGCCUAACACAUGCAAGUCGAACGGCAGCACAGUAAGAGCUUGCUCUUACGGGUGGCGAGUGGCGGACAGGUGAGGAAUACAUCGGAAUCUACUUUUUCGUGGGGGAUAACGUAGGGAAACUUACGCUAAUACCGCAUACGACCUACGGGUGAAAGCAGGGGAUCUUCGGACCUUGCGCGAUUGAAUGAGCCGAUGUCGGAUUAGCUAGUUGGCGGGGUAAAGGCCCACCAAGGCGACGAUCCGUAGCUGGUCUGAGAGGAUGAUCAGCCACACUGGAACUGAGACACGGUCCAGACUCCUACGGGAGGCAGCAGUGGGGAAUAUUGGACAAUGGGCGCAAGCCUGAUCCAGCCAUACCGCGUGGGUGAAGAAGGCCUUCGGGUUGUAAAGCCCUUUUGUUGGGAAAGAAAAGCAGCAGGUUAAUACCCCGCUGUUCUGACGGUACCCAAAGAAUAAGCACCGGCUAACUUCGU
rnacentral:rRNA from 1 species